UACGAAGGGGGCUAGCGUUGUUCGGAAUCACUGGGCGUAAAGCGCACGUAGGCGGAUUUUUAAGUCAGGGGUGAAAUCCCGAGGCUCAACCUCGGAACUGCCUUUGAUACUGGAGAUCUUGAGUCCGGAAGAGGUAAGUGGAACUGCGAGUGUAGAGGUGAAAUUCGUAGAUAUUCGGAAGAACACCAGUGGCGAAGGCGACUUACUGGACACAUAUUGACGCUGAGGUGCGAAAGCGUGGGGAGCAAACAGG
rnacentral:rRNA from 1 species